UACGGAGGGGGCUAGCGUUGUUCGGAAUUACUGGGCGUAAAGCGCACGUAGGCGGCUUUGCAAGUUAGAGGUGAAAGCCCGGGGCUCAACUCCGGAAUUGCCUUUAAAACUGCAUCGCUAGAAUUGUGGAGAGGUAAGUGGAAUUCCGAGUGUAGAGGUGAAAUUCGUAGAUAUUCGGAAGAACACCGGUGGCGAAGGCGGCUCACUGGCUCGUAACUGACGCUCAUGCACGACAGCGUGGGGAUCAAACAGG
rnacentral:rRNA from 1 species